rnacentral:rRNA from 1 species
CAUCGCAUCCUGGGGCUGGAGAAGGUCCCAAGGGUUUGGCUGUUCGCCAAUUAAAGCGGUACGCGAGCUGGGUUCAAACCGUAGAGGAGUCUAAAAGUUUUUAAAGUCCUUAAAGUCUAUAAAGCAAAAUAUAAAAACAGCUAGCUUUAUAAACUUUAUGACUUGAUGGACUUUUGACUCUUGUACAGUUUGAAUCCGAGGUUUUGACAUCAUCAUGGCGGCUUCAUAUAGAAAUAUAUGAUGGCAAGCUAACUUAUUUCGGUAAAAUCCUUGGAAAGGACAAUACCGAGGGAAUUCCAAAGGUUUGGAAGCCCGUAGAGACUAAACGUUAGCGAUACUAGUUCAUUUGAAAAGGAUUAAGUUAUAGUCCAAUACACUUAGUAAUAAGUGAUUAACAUGCGUGAGACAGGUUGGUCUCUAUCUGCCGUAGGCGUUAGUGCUUGAGGAGAUUCUUUCCUAGUACGAGAGGACCGGAAAGAACGAACCUCUGGUGUAUCGGCUGUUCUGCCAAGAGCAUUGUCGAGUAGCUAAGUUCGGACGGGAUAAUCGCUGAAAGCAUAUAAGCGAGAAGCCCUUCUCAAGAUUAGGCAACGUUCCAACACCUAUUGAGGAUUUUAAGUAAAGUUUUUAUAUUUACAAAAAGUUUUUUGUAAAAAACCAAGCUUAGUAAAAUUCUAAAAAGUCGUAGUAGCGAGCCAUGGGCUCGUAUCUUCAAUAGGUGUUGGAUCAAUUUCCUGGAAGACGACCAGGUUAAUAGGUUUCAGGUGUAAGUCCGGCGACGGAUUUAGCCAAGAAAUACUAACAAAUUGUCGUUACACUUUU